rnacentral:rRNA from 1 species
AUUGAACGCUGGCGGCAGGCCUAACACAUGCAAGUCGAGCGGAUGAGAGGAGCUUGCUUCUCGAUUCAGCGGCGGACGGGUGAGUAAUGCCUAGGAAUCUGCCUGGUAGUGGGGGACAACGUUUCGAAAGGAACGCUAAUACCGCAUACGUCCUACGGGAGAAAGCAGGGGACCUUCGGGCCUUGCGCUAUCAGAUGAGCCUAGGUCGGAUUAGCUAGUUGGUGAGGUAAUGGCUCACCAAGGCGACGAUCCGUAACUGGUCUGAGAGGAUGAUCAGUCACACUGGAACUGAGACACGGUCCAGACUCCUACGGGAGGCAGCAGUGGGGAAUAUUGGACAAUGGGCGAAAGCCUGAUCCAGCCAUGCCGCGUGUGUGAAGAAGGUCUUCGGAUUGUAAAGCACUUUAAGUUGGGAGGAAGGGCAGUAAGCUAAUACCUUGCUGUUUUGACGUUACCGACAGAAUAAGCACCGGCUAACUCUGUGCCAGCAGCCGCCGUAAAAC